rnacentral:lncRNA from 1 species
CAAAAAUAUAUUCUUCCAAGAAAAACAAAGCCCUGUCUAUACUCGAUGCAGCUCUGAAGAGAUUGGCUGAUCCUGAUGAGUGGGAUUCCCCCAGCACAGCCAACAGCAUUGCUAAGGGACAGACUGCCUCCUCAAGCAGGUCUCUGACCCCAUGCCUCCUGAUUGGGUGAGACCUCCCAUCAGGGGUCACCAGACACCUCGUACAGGAGACCUCUGGCUGGCAUCAGGUCAGUGCUCUUCUGGGAUGAAGCUACCGGAGGAAGAAACAGGCAGCAAUCUUUGCUGUUCUGCAGCCUCCACAGGUGAUACUUAGGCAAAAGGAUCUGGAGUGGACCCCCAGCAAACUCCAGCAGACCUGCAGAAGAGAGGCCUGACUGUUAGAAGAAAAAUAAACAGAAAGCAACAACAGCAAUGGCAACAAAAAACAGAUCCCACAAAAAGCCCAUCCAAAGGUCAUUAGCCUCAAAGAUCAAAGGUAGAUAAAUCCACAAAGUUGAAGAAAAACCAACACAAAUACGCUGAAAACCCAAAAGCUAGAUGGCUCUUCUCCUCCGAAUGAUUGCAACACAUCUCCAGCAAGGGCACAGAACAGGCUGAAGCUGAAAUGGAUGAACCGACAGAAGUAGGCGUCAGAAAGUGGGUAAUGACAAAUUUUGCUGAGCUAAAGGAUUAUGUUGUAACCCAAUGCAAAGAAGCUAAAAACCAUAAUAAAAGAUUACAGUAGCUGUUAACUAGAAUAACCAGUUUAGAGAGGAACAUAAAUGACCUGAUGGAGCAGAAAAAUUCAGCACAAGACGUUCACGAUGCAAACACAAGUAUCAAUAGCCGAAUUGACCAAGCGGAAGAGAGAAUAUCAGAGCUUGAAGACUAUGUUGAUGAAAUAAGGCAGGCAGACUAGAUUAGAGAAAAAAGAAUGAAAAAGAAUGAACAAAACCUCCGAGAACUACGGGACCAGGUAAAAAGACCGAACCUACCAUUGAUUGGAGACCUGAAAGAGAUGGGGAGAAUGGAACCAAGUUGGAGAACACAUGACAGGAUAUCAUUCAGGAGAACUUCCCCAACCUAGCAAGUCAGGCCAACAUUCAAAUUCAGGAAAUCCAGAGAACCUCAAUAAGAUACUCCACAAGAAGAUCUACCUGAAGACACAUAAUCAUCAGAUUCUCUAAGGUCAAAAUGAAGAAAAAUAUGUGAAGGGCAGCCACAGAUAAAGGUCAGGUCACCUAUAAAGGGAAGCCCAUCAGACUAACAUUGGACCUCUCAGCAGAAACCCUAGAAGCCAGAAGAGUUUGGGGGCCAAUAGUCAACAUUCUUGAAGAAAAGAAAUUCCAAAGCAGAAUUUCGUAUCUGGCCAAACUAAGCUUCAUAAGUGAAGGAGAAAUAAAAUCUUUCUCAGACAAGCAAAUGCUGAGGGAUUUCAUCACCACCAGAACUGCCUUGCAAGAGCUCCUGAAGGAAGCACUAAACAUAGAUAGGAGAAACCAUUACCAGCCACUAAAAAACACACAGAGGUACACAGACCAACAACACUAUAAAGCAACUACAUUAACAACUCUGCAAAAUUAACCAGCCAGCAUCAUGAUGACAGGAUAAAAUUCACACAUAACAAUAUUAAACUUAAAUGUAAAUGGGCUAAAUGCUCCAAUUAAAAGACACAGAAUGGCAAGCUGGAUACAAAGACAAGACCCACUGGCGUACUGUAUUCAAGAGACACAGCUCAUGUGCAAAGACACACAUAGACUCAAAAUAAAGGGAUGGAGGAAAAUUUACCAAGCAAAUGGAAAGCAGAAAAAAAGCAGUUUCAAUCCUAGUUUUGGACAAAAUAGACGUUAAACCAACAAAAGUCAAAAAAGACAAAGAAGGGCAUUACAUAAUGUUAAAGGGUUCAAUUCAACAAGAAGAGCAAACUAUCCCAAAUAUAUAUGCACCCAAUUCAGGAGCACCCAGACACAUAAAACAAGUUUUUAGAGACCUACAAAGAGGCUUAGACCCCUACACAAUAAUAGCAGAAGACUUUAAUACCCCACUGUCAGUAUUGGACAGAUCAUAAAGGCAGAAAAUUAACAAAGAUAUUCAGGACUUGAACUCAGCUGCAGACCAAGUAAACCUGAUAGAUAUCAACAGAACUCUCCACCCCAAAACAACAGAAUAUACAUUUUUUUCGGAACCAUGUGGCACUUACUCUAAAGUUGGUCACACAGUUGGGAGCAAAACACUCAUCAGUAAAUGAAAAAGAACUGAAAUCAUAACAAAACAGUCUCACAGACCACAGCACAAUCAAAUAAGAUCUCAAGGUUAAAAAGCCCACUAAAAACCACACAACUACAUGUAAAUUGAACAACCAGCACCUGAAUGACUUCUGAGUAAAUAGUGAAAUUAAGGCAGAAAUCAAGAAGUUCUUUGAAAUCAAUGAGAACACAGAGACAACAUAUCAGAAUCUCUGGGACGCGGCUAAAACAGUGUUAAGAGGGAAAUUUAUAGCUCUAAAUGCCCACAUCAAAAAGCUGAAAAGAUCUCAAAUUGACACCCUAACAUUACAAUUCAAAGAACUAGAGGACCUAGAGCAAACAAACCCCUGAGCUAACAGAGGUCUACCUCUUUAAUUCAGGUUUGCUUUGUCUGGGUUUCCCUGCUCUGCUUCACAGCACUGGACUCUCUCAAGGCAUUAACUUGGAGCAAUAAAGAGCUCAACUUCUUUCACCUCCUCUCCCAUUUUGCUGAAUCGCUAUCUGAUGUCCAGUCUCUUGAAAAACUAUUGUUUCAUAUAUUUUUUUUCCAGUAUUUUGGUUGUUUCAGGGAAAAGAGGGUAGAAACAGAAGGCAUCUCUGAAAAGUUAUUAUAUUGCUGAUUUGAUUUCUAAAUAGUUAUGAAACCACAAUAUUUCCCCAAUUUCUCCUGAGCAUUUUAUUAAGUCGUGCUUUUCUGAGAUUUUACUGCUUUAAAAUUUAUUGUUACAAAGUUGUUCAUAAUAUCCUUUUAUCUUUUUAGUGUCUACAGGAUAUAGAGUGUGCCAACUUUUUCUCUGUUCUAGUAUGCUAAUUUUUUUCUAUUUUAUUUUUCAUAUGAAUCUUAUACAAGUUUAUCAUUUUUGUUGUCUUUUUCAAAGAACUAAUUUUGGGCUUGCUGUCCAUUUUAUUAAAUUUC